rnacentral:lncRNA from 1 species
CCUGUUGGGAUGAAUACUAAAAGGUGGCUGUUCGCUGUCUAGUCAAGGUGGAGGCCCCUUCCCAUAGGAUUGUCACGCGGAAUAAAGACAACGCAUGCUGAGGACCUGGCGCAGAGCAGACCCUUAGUAACAGGAGCUAAUACUGGGAUACAAACAGCCCCAGGUCCCCAAACCAUCCAAAGAGCCCUCCCUGUUUCCUCUUCCGUUUCAAGACCAUUGGGGGAAACGGUCUUGCCCUUCCUCUGCCGUAGCCUUCCUCAGUAGAACACACCACCUGGGGGCUGCUGUGUCUUGUUUGCUUUUAAAUUUUCAAUAACUUGGUACCAGCUGUUCUAGUAUUUCUAUCUCCCCGCCAGGAAGCUGCCUUCCUCCCACUGCAACGC